ensembl:lncRNA LINC00667 long intergenic non-protein coding RNA 667
GGGGAGGCGCAGGAUGGACGCGUUGGCUGUCAUGAUGUAGGACCUCCUGACCUAGAACCAUGCCCGGCGCAGGGAGAACAACGAGCUUACGGACCGGGUGCGGGGGCUGCUGUGCGAGAAAGCCUACCUGCUGGCCCGGGAGCGUUCGCCGGCCCACCUGGUGGCUUUCCCUGGACGUUUAACGGCGACUCCGCCCGGCCUCCCGACUUUUUGAUGCAGGCGUUCUCUUACAUGACUUUCUUCGAGGCUAGAUUCUCGAAAGACAUCCUGAAGGUGGCUUUCUUAAUUAGCUGCCUCACCGGCUGGCGGAGCAGUUCGUAGUCGCCUACAUCGAGAGGGAGAGCCCCGUCCUGGCUCAGUACUGGGGCUUCGUGGACGCGCUGUAGCGGGUCUUCGCCGUCGUGGGUAGGAAACAGUCGGGCCGGAUCCCCGGUGUCUGGGGAGCGGCUGCCGGCCGGGCCCGCGCGAGCCGCUUCACUCCUACAAGCCCGGCUCACUAGUUCCAAGCUGCUGGACUUUGACCCUCGCUGGGAAGCUUGAUCGCCGCCUGUUCUCGCCAAUCUCUAUGCCUUUGCACUGCCCAGCAACCCGGUCACUGCCCAGGACCUGUUAAAAGUUGAAUGGACCUCCCAGAAUCACGCCGCUGCCACCGCCGUUUCUAGAGACGGCUUUUGGCCACCUUUGAGAAUCAGGGUCAAACUUGGAAGGGCCUGCAUUUGUCACACUUCCUCGGACACUAAUUUGGAUAGUUCAGGCCCAGAGACGGCUUCCCGGGUUAGUGUGCCUGACAACACUGAAGAAAAAUUGUGACAUUUUCCUUCCCCAGAAUUACUUCGUUUUAUACAUUUCACUUCUCUUCUGAAAUCACAGCAAUGCCAGUUUGCGCCUUUUGGUCUGAGGAACGCAGGCCCUGGCCACUACCAGGAAAAAGUAUUUACUUUUAAAACUUGAAUGUAUAUCUUUACCGUAUGCCUAGUACAGUAGUGCUUGGAAGAAACAGAUUAGUAAGACAAAAUAUAUGUCUUCAAGAACACUUACGUUCUGAGAAAGAAUUCUGAAUGCAGAUUCUAAUGUCUGAACCUUCUGGAUUUCAGCUUUGGCAAGCUUCCUCUGUUUCUGAGACACCUCCAUCACCUGGGUUACAAUCCCAUCCAUGAUUUUCCCCAUCUCCAGGCAUUUUUCAUGGAAAGCUCCUCAUGCUUUUUAAUUCCAGUUUAUCCAUUUGUGUGGCUUUAACCUCCACAUCCAGGUCUUUCUGGCUAAACUGCAGUAUAUCCACAAUGGGGCCAAUGGACACAUAAGGGAGGCCCUAUCACAGGAACACGAACACCCGGAGUCGCUAGAAAUCAGAUUCCACCGGCUUUGCUUCAGGCCGACUUCCUAAGGAAGGCAUGGUAGCAUCACAGAUGCUGUUUGUCUCAGUUUCCUGAGAAGCCAGUUUCUUAGAGCUGUCAUUCAAGAGUGGGUCAAAUUUGAGAUAUAAAAACCUUUCUCAAGGUAGACUCUUUGGCCCCUAUGCCUAGUAUGUCAGCUGGGCCUCUGAAGCUCUCCUCUUUGAGGUCCUGGCAGGCUCUGGCCCCUGUUGAGAAGGGGAAGCAGUCAUGUGAACUCAUGUGCUGGAAGAAUCCACUCUACCCCUUCCCUGGCUUCUCUGCUGCAAUUUUUGUCUUUAAACGUAUUUUCAGAUCCUUUGCACAUGGCCUGCUAUCAACAAUCCUCUACAAUGAUUCUCAGCAUCACCUAGGGAGCUUAUGUAAAAUCUCAAAUUCCUGGGCCCUAUCCCCAGAGUUUCUUAUCAAGUAAGUCUGCAUUGGGAUCUGAGGAUUUGCAUCUCUAACAAAAAUUCCUAGGCGAUGCUCACACUGUUGGUGUAAGGUUUCCUUGAUGGAGAACUAUCAAAGCAGUCAAAGCUAUCAAAAUAAAAAAGAAUUCUGAUUGGGUGCAGUGGCUCACACCUGUCAUUCCAGCACUUUGAGAGGCCAAGGUGGGCAGAUCACAUGAGGCCAGGAGUUCAAGACCAGCCUGGCCAACAUGGCAGAAACCCCAUCUCUACUAAAAAUACCAAAAUUAGCCGGGCAUGGUGGAACACACCUGCAAUCCCAGCUACUCGGGAGGCUGAGGCAAGAGAAUCGCUUGAACCUGGGAGGCAGAAGUUGCAGUGAAACAAGUUGGUGCCAAUGCAUUCCAGCCUGGAUGAUGGAGCGAGACUCUGUCUCAAGAAAAAAAAAACAAAAACAAAAACAGAACUCUGCCUCAUAGCGUCUUUUAAGUUAUACACUGGACCUAUCCUUUCCUCACUGACAGACAUUUUAAAAAUUUUUUGGUAAGGCCUAGUUCAUAUAAAAUGUAAUCCAAGCCAAAAGUUAACAAGAAUAAGGGGAGGAAAGGGGACUCCAAUAGCAGAGAAAGGUAUUUACCUGGGAUAUACACUGCAAGAAAAUCAAAGCUAUAAGAAACGUCCAUGAAUAGUAGCCAUAAGGCAUCAGAGUGAUAAAAUUCCUGUCCCUAGGAGGGAAUAUUGGAGUUUGCCAGAGAAACAGAAUGAGAGAGACAGAGAGGUUUAUUGUAGGAAUUGGCUCAUAUGAUUACGGAGGCUGAGAAGACCCACGAUCUGCCAUCUGCAAGCUGGAGAAUCAGGAAAGCUGGAGGUGUAAUUCAGUCAAGUCCAAUGGCCAGAGAAGCAAGUGUACUGAUAUCCAAGAGCAGGAGAAAAUAGAUGUCCCAGAACAAGCAGAGAGGCUGAUUUUGUCCUUCCUCUGCCUUUUUGUUUCAUAUGGGGCACUGAAUGGACUGAUGCCCAUCCACAUUAGUGAGGGUGGAUCUUCUUUACUCAGUCUACCAGUAGAAAUGUCAAUGACUUCCAGAAACACCCUCACCAACACACGUGGAAAUAAUGUUUUACCAGGUAUCUGGGCAUCCCUUGGUUCACUCAAGUUGACACAAAAUUAACCAUCACAGAAGGAGACUGGCCUUACUCUGAAAUUAGGAAACUAAAGAAGUGACCAGAAUGGAGACUAGGUAGAGACAACUAGUUCUCUACCAAACAUGUACAGUUAUUCGUUGGUAUCUGAAGGGGAUUGGUUCCAGGAACUCUCAGGGAUACCAAAAUCUGCAGGUGCUCAAGUCAUUUAUAUAAAAUAUUACAGUAUUUGCAUAUAACCUUUGCACAUCUUCCAUAUACUUUAAAUCAUCUCUACAUUACUUAUAAUAAUGAAUGUGUAAAUGCUAUGAAAAUAGUUACUACACUAUUGUUUAUUUGUAUUUUUAUUGAAUUGUUUUGGGGUGGGGGGCAGCUGUAUCUUUCUUAGUAAUAGAACCCCUGGUUUUAGCUGGGCACAUGACUGCCCUCAAUAAAGAUUAAAGUACCCCAGCCUUCCUUGAGAUUGUGGCCAUGUGACUGAACUUUAGACAGUGAGAUAUAAGCAGAUAUCUUCUGUGGCAGUGUUAGGAAACUAUUAAAGACAGUAAGAACAUUGCCCUUUGCCUUCUUUUUCCUUUCUUCAUUUUUCUGCCUGGAAUGCAAAUGUGAUGGCUAACACCCUAGCAGCCAUUUUAGAUUAUGAAGAUGAGAGUCACUCCCCAGGAAGGGUGGACCUGAAAGCUGGAUUCUAGAUGUGGAAUGACAAUACCAGCCCUGGACUACCUACCUGUAGGCUGUGUGUGUGUGUGUGUGAUUGACAGAGAGAGAGAGAGAUAGAUACCACAAGUAACACAAAGCAUCAUACCUGGGACUGGGAAGGUUAAUGUUUAAACAUUUUAAAUGUGGCAUUGGUUUGUUGAAGACAGUCAAGCAGUAGGUGCUGCAGGCUUUGUUGAGGCUAGAAAGCUGUUGGUCUUUAUUAGGUGAUGGCAAAACAAUGGAUCACAUUUUCAUGUGCUGUGUCUUGGGAGGCAAAUGAUGAGAAUGUAGGAUUGGGGAAAAUGGUAAGGAAAAUCCAAAAUGUUCAUGUUUUCUAACCCCUUCUUGCCAAUCUUAAAAGAAGGACAAACAGGCUAGAUUAAGCAAGUCUACAGUUACAAUUGGAAGGAAACACAGCCGUACUAAGGAAGUACUCUGUCUGUGGCCUGCAGUCUAGUUUGACUAGGUCCUGUAUUUGAGCUUUGAAAGAGUAAAGAAUACAAGUGCUCGUAUACCCCUGAAGUAGUUACCAGCAGUGACUGCAAGGAGGUAAUCUUAUGGGAUGAAACUAUAACUCUGUAUUAACCAUCAUAUAUAGCAUAUAUGUGUAUAUGUAUGUGUGUGUGUGUAUAUGUGUAUAUAAAUAUAUGUGUGUGUAUAUACACACAUGUACACACCCUACAACCCAGUGAUUUCAAAAAAUUAAACAUUUGUUUAGCUCAUGAAUCUGUGGGUUGGGUGAACAUUUCUAUUGGUCUUGGCUGGGCUCACCUGUACCCAGUCAGCUGCAGGGUCUAGCUCUUCUUAUCUUGGCUGGGAUCUCACACAUGUCUAGGAUCAGCUGCUUUACUAGUCUAGGAUUGUCUUGGCUGAGACAGGUGGACUACUCAGUUCUCCUCCACUGCCUUAUCCUUCAGCUGGCCAGCCCAGAAAUGUUGCCAUGUUUACAGCAUAAGAGCAAGCAAGAAAGAAUAAUAUGCAACCACUUUUCCAAGCCUAAGGUGAAAGGGCGGGCAGAACCUGUGGUGUUAGGAGGCAACUCAUACCAGCCCAUGGGUCUACCGUUUAAUUUUCAGAAAUUUGGCAAGCUGAUUGUUAACACAGCUGUUGUUUAAUUUAUGUACUUGUAAUUAAAUAAUUUACAUUAAAACAAAGAUAAUAGGUACUCAAAACUCAUGACUUUCUAGUUAUUUUAUUAUAUUUUACUAUUGUCUGUCCUCUUAAGGUGUUUGUUUCUAGUGUAUCUGGUGGAAACACUACUUCAUGUUUCAGUUGUGUCAAACCAGUAGCUUGAAAUCAGCCACUGUUGGAGUGUUUAUACCACAGAAAUUGAUAGAAGCUACAAAUGAAGUGUUGCUUGUUGAUUUGUUUUGUUAAUUGUCUGGCUUAAGAAAGUGGUAGAGAAAACAUUAAUGCAGAUUAAAUUUAAAAGCGUGUUGUGUCUGCGGCCGUUACAUUGCAAAUACAAAAAAUAAUUGAGGAAAUGUUCUUUGAAAACUAUUAUCUAAUUCUGCAAAGUUGUCACCUCAUUUACAA